rnacentral:rRNA from 1 species
UACGAAGGGGGCUAGCGUUGCUCGGAAUCACUGGGCGUAAAGCGCACGUAGGCGGCUUCUUAAGUCAGGGGUGAAAUCCUGGAGCUCAACUCCAGAACUGCCUUUGAUACUGAGUAGCUUGAGUCCGGGAGAGGUGAGUGGAACUGCGAGUGUAGAGGUGAAAUUCGUAGAUAUUCGCAAGAACACCAGUGGCGAAGGCGGCAUCCUGGACCGGCAUUGACGCUGAGGCGCGAAAGCCAGGGGAGCAAACGGG